GACGAACGCUGGCGGCGUGCCUAAUACAUGCAAGUCGAACGCUUAAGAGAGGAUCUUGCUCUUCUUGGAUGAGUUGCGAACGGGUGAGUAACGCGUAGGUAACCUGCCUUGUAGCGGGGGAUAACUAUUGGAAACGAUAGCUAAUACCGCAUAACAGUGGGUGACACAUGUCAUUUAUUUGAAAGGGCCAAUUGCUCCACUACAAUCUGGACCUGCGUUGUAUUAGGUAGUAGGGGAGGAAAUGGCCCACCUAGGCGUAGAUACAUAGACGAGCUGGGAGGGGGGUCGGGUCACAUGGGACCGGGACACGGCCCAGGACUCCACGGGAGGGAGGAGGAGGGGAUCUUUGGAAAUGGGGGCAAAGCUGAACGAACAAAGCCGCGGGGGUGAAGAAGGGUUUCGGGUCGUAAAGCUCUGUUGUAAGUCAAGAACGGGUGUGAGGGUGGAAAGUUCACACUGUGACGUUAGCUUAACAGAAAGCGACGGCUAACUACGUG
rnacentral:rRNA from 1 species